GGCCUCAGGAUGUCGAUGUUGGCAUAAAGGUUAAAGGCUUUGGAGGCCUGCCGCUUCCCUGCCUGCCACACCUGGAGGUGGAACACAGCCUUAGACCCGACAUUCAGGAUGAAAGUAGGCGAUGAAGUGUGGACCAGAACAGAGGAGGAGCUCAUGACUAGAACCUCACAACAGCAGAUGAAGCAGGAGGUUGAAGGUACAGCUGGUCACCAUGAUGGUCUCCUCUGAUGAAGACUGUGGAGCUGCAGUAGCACCACUGGUCAGAUAAGACCAUACAAAGACAUCCCAUUCCCCACUAUUUGAUUUUCCAUAACAAAAUAAAUUGUUGGCAUCUAUUUUAUUUUUAUAAAAAGCCAGAGCUCUCUGCAAGCGUACAUUUUCUACUGCUGGAGACAUUAUCAGCCAGGAGCGGGCUGCUUUGUCUCCUGAGAAAGCAGACAUGUUAAUUUUAAAUAAAAAGGUCCUCAUGAUGUCACAGUGAGCUUCAGACACUCACUUGUUUGCACUGAAAAUAUAUUUUUAUGUAAUAAAUGCUUUGAAUG